CUUGAACCGCAUGGUUCAAGGAUGAAAGACGGUUUCGGCUGUCACUUACAGAUGGACCCGCGGCGCAUUAGCUAGUUGGUGGGGUAAUGGCUCACCAAGGCGACGAUGCGUAGCCGACCUGAGAGGGUGAUCGGCCACACUGGGACUGAGACACGGCCCAGACUCCUACGGGAGGCAGCAGUAGGGAAUCUUCCGCAAUGGACGAAAGUCUGACGGAGCAACGCCGCGUGAGUGAUGAAGGUUUUCGGAUCGUAAAGCUCUGUUGUUAGGGAAGAACAAGUGCGAGAGUAACUGCUCGCACCUUGACGGUACCUAACCAGAAAGCCACGGCUAACUACGUGCCAGCAGCCGCGGUAAUACGUAGGUGGCAAGCGUUGUCCGGAAUUAUUGGGCGUAAAGGGCUCGCAGGCGGUUUCUUAAGUCUGAUGUGAAAGCCCCCG
rnacentral:rRNA from 1 species